GAAUUCUUGCCCCGGUAGGGGGGGAUAACCCUGGGGAAACCCAGGCUUAAUACCGCAUACGUCCUACGGGAGAAAGGGGGCUUCGGCUCCCGCUAUUGGAUGAGCCUAUGUCGGAUUAGCUGGUUGGUGAGGUAACGGCUCACCAAGGCAACGAUCCGUAGCUGGUCUGAGAGGAUGAUCAGCCACAUCGGGACUGAGACACGGCCCGAACUCCUACGGGAGGCAGCAGUGGGGAAUAUUGGACAAUGGGGGCAACCCUGAUCCAGCCAUGCCGCGUGUGUGAAGAAGGCCCUCGGGUUGUAAAGCACUUUCAGCGAGGAAGAACGCCUGGUGGUUAAUACCCAUCAGGAAAGACAUCACUCGCAGAAGAAGCACCGGCUAACUCCGUGCCAGCAGCCGCGGUAAUACGGAGGGUGCAAGCGUUAAUCGGAAUUACUGGGCGUAAAGCGCGCGUAGGUGGCUUGAUAAGCCGGUUGUGAAAGCCCCGGGCUCAACCUGGGAACGGCAUCCGGAACUGUCAGGCUAGAGUGCAGGAGAGAAAGGUAGAAUUACCCGUGAAUCGGAUCAGGGCGCAGAAUUAGAUACCCUGGUAGUCCUGAGUUUGAUCCUGGCUCAGGAUUAGAUACCCUGGU
rnacentral:rRNA from 1 species